UACGAAGGGGGCUAGCGUUGCUCGGAAUCACUGGGCGUAAAGCGCACGUAGGCGGCUUUCUAAGUCAGGGGUGAAAUCCUGGAGCUCAACUCCAGAACUGCCUUUGAUACUGGAGAGCUUGAGUCCGGAAGAGGUGAGUGGAACUCCGAGUGUAGAGGUGAAAUUCGUAGAUAUUCGGAAGAACACCAGUGGCGAAGGCGGCUCUCUGGACCGAGACUGACGCUGAGGCGCGAAAGCGUGGGGAGCAAACAGG
rnacentral:rRNA from 1 species